CCUCGAAGUAGAUUCGUCUUUCCACAUUUUUUCACAGUACAGUGUGAAGCUGGUUAAAGAUGGCGACAUGCAGAGAUGACGAGUGGGCAAAAAACAUAUACCCUGUGACUAAACAAUCCAAAUCUAAUCGCAUCGCCCUGAUGAUCAAUAAUAUAAAGUUUCAUAAUGACAGCUCGG